rnacentral:lncRNA from 1 species
CCAUAUACUCAUCUCUUCUGUACAUGUACUUGUAACGAUAUCCAUUCUUGCGAAACAACGAGAUGCGCUUCUAUCCUUGUCAAGGACCUCGAGCCAAAAUAAGGAUAGGAUCUCAUAUUGGGAGUUACAGUCAAGUAGCGGUCCCACCAGUAUCAAAAGUGGUGAGGAAUUUUCCAAGGAGUGGGCCAAGCGCCAAGCCAAGCUGAAGAAGCUCUCUGUAGAAGCAGUGAGGGAAAUUCAACCGUGAUACUGUUGUUAUCGCUACCGCAACCUCGUUUGCUGCUAAGG